rnacentral:rRNA from 1 species
AACGAACGCUGGCGGCGUGUCUUAAGCAUGCAAGUCGAGCGGCAAGGAAGUGCUUGCACUUCCCCAGAGCGGCGGACUGGUGAGUAACGCGUGGGUGAUCUACCUCGGGGUUGGGGAUAGCCAUUAGAAAUAGUGGGUAAUACCGAAUACGCUUCCAGGGCUACGGCCGUGGAAGGAAAGGCGCUACGGCGCCGACCUGAGAUGAGCCCGCGUCCCAUUAGCUAGUUGGUGAGGUAACGGCCCACCAAGGCGAUGAUGGGUAGGCGGCCUGAGAGGGUGUACGCCCACAUUGGGACUGAGAUACGGCCCAAACUCCUACGGGAGGCAGCAGCUAAGAAUAUUCCGCAAUGGACGAAAGUCUGACGGAGCGACGCCGCGUGGAUGAUGAAGGCCGGAAGGUUGUAAAAUCCUUUUGUCGGGAAGAAUAAGCGUGGGAGGGAAUGCCCGCGUGAUGACAUGAACCGGCGAAUAAGCCCCGGCUAACUACGUGCCAGCAGCCGCGGUAAAACGU